GAAAUCCUGCAAGUGUUUGGAGCUGAUAAACCCCUCUGGUCUGCACAAACACCCCCCCCCCCCCGUGAUCCUCAAGUCCCUCUACGGGUAAUCACGUCUCUACCGGACCACAAACACACUGAUGAUCUGGAGAAACAGCGCGACUAAACCACAUCAUUCCAAAAGUCAGUCGUACCAGUCUGGAAGGACACGGGGGUUUAAUCGCUUUGUGAUGUGUGUUUGAAAAAGCAGUUUGAUCCACAUUAUUCUUGUGGAGUAAGUGUGUGUAAGAGAAUGAAAGAGCCUGAUUCUGAAUCUAAUAGUCCAGAUAAGUGGAGGAAAAGACUCUGCACAGUGUUUCCUGUGAAUCAGGAAGCAGGAAGUGUGUGGAAGAGGAAGAUUGUGUUUUGGGUCACAGUGGACAAUGAGAGUAAGAGCUUGAAGGAAAGAGGCCUGCGUCAGUGUGAGAGCAGCGGAUGGGGAUUCAGAGAGAGAGAGAGCUGAACGAGAGAAGGCAAGAUGGUCUCUCGUGGCUUCACUGUUCAGUGUGA